GGAAGUUGAGGCUGUAAGUCUUUCGUACUGUCGGCAAACUUUUCAGUAAUUCCAUGUGCUGUCAUUUUCUGUUAAAAACAGAAGAUUUCAGUCAGUUCCAGUUGUAUGUUCAUAAGAUUAUGGAAUUGAACAAAAAUUUUUCAUCCAGACUUGCAAUAUUGCUACUGAGAUGUUGAACACAAUAAUUUUCUGGUGGAUGACAAUAUAAUUUCUUUUAAAAUUGAUUUGUCACCACGUGGGGACCUGAAACUGAAAACUGACAGGUACUUUGAGACACUAUUCAUGUGGAAGGUGACCACACCGAUGCCACAAAUAUCAUCAAUACUGCAUGAUUUAGGCAAACAGGUUGUGUAGGCUGAAACAAUGAAGGGAAAAGUAGCUGUGUAUACCGAGGAAAAUGUAAAAGGUGGAUGAGAAAACUUGAAAUUUUCAGAAGUGAAAACUCAAAGACAUUGUCACUAUGAUCCAAUCAUUAUCAUUUUGGGGCAUGCAGAAGAAAUGAGCUCAUUAUACGUGUAAUAAUUUAUUUGAAUGUGUUUUGAAGAAAUAGGGGGUAGACAAUUGGAAACUAAAUGCCGUGAAAUACGCGUGUCCAUUGAUAUAAAAAUGUUUCACACUGUUCAUUUCUGGACUGGGUGUGUGUAUGGACAGCACAAUGAGGGACUGAACAUUGGAAUUUCUACACAAGGUAAUUCGCUAAUGUCUGCGUUGGAGUUUUUUUAUGGCAACUGGGACCAUAUCAGAAAUUACCCGGACGACCUGCGGCUCGCCUUCCUUGUUCCUACCAACCAAGAAAGGAUUGAUGAAUUAGCUAUUACCUUCUAUGGAAACAAAAUAAAUUAUUCAGCAGCUGUUAUUGUACUUGAAGAACUCUGGUAUUAUAAGCCAAAUCUUAACAAUUUAAUUCGUCAAUUCAGGGAAGCAUAUAGAGAGUUUGUUUUUAUGCCUAAUGUGCACAUAAGUAUUACGAUUUCAGAUAGGGACGUUAUAGGCCUUUGUGGUAUAACUAUUAGAGCCUCAAUACAUAAAAUAUCAAAAGUCAUACCUCAGACGCACAGCCAAAGGCCAUCCUAGAACAUGGCCUCACGGGUAGUGAGGUCUCCUAAUCAGGGUAAAACCAAAUAUAGGCUUGUUAACAAGUUAUCUACGGACAAAGAGCAUUGGCAAUGUACAUGUGAGAAUGAGUUUUGUUUACAUUUUAGGUGGCAAGUGUUGGCACGUCUGUAUUAUGUUUUGGAUAUUUCAGAAUGGCUCACAACCUGCAUCCCGCUUUGGGAUACCGAAGAGCAGAGUAUGAAAAUGUUGCCAAUAGUCAUGAACAAACCCAAGGUAUGCAACAUCACGCUUGCGUAGGUGGGCCGAACGUACUAAAGUUAUAGAUUACAUGGAUCCAUUCUUAGUUAAUAAUUGGUCUCGUAUUCGUUUCAUUGAGAAAUAUUUCGACUCUUUUCAAGCGAAUCGUUUGGUCGUCAGGUCUCUUACUGAGUGUCAUUUAAAUUAUAAUGCCUGGGCGGGGCGCGUUGUACGGUGGUAUAACAAGGCCUUUCGGUCAACGGAGGUGCCUAAGAAACAGUUAUAUCUUUAUGGUGAUACAAAUAUUGGCAAGUCAACGUUAAUUGAGAAAAUACUGUCUCGUAAACAGCAUUUAUAUCUACCGUUUUGUUCCGAAUUUGGAUUUGGUGGAUAUGAUGCUUGUGUUCAUAAUGUUAUUGUUUUUGAGGAGUUUGAGUGGUCUAGAUGGAGGCAGUAUGCAUCAAUUUCACUGAUCAGUUACUGGGGGUGCACUGCCUGCUUGUGGGCUCAGUAUGUGAAACAAGUGCAUGUCACAGAGGCAUAAUUGUUUUACGCGUGCUCGUCUUGUAUUGUGGCACAGUUUGUUAUGAGAACAUACGGUUUCAUAUUGUCUGUUUCUUUAGCUUCAUUGUGUAAUCACUGUUGUUUAUACAGGGUGUUUCAAAAAUGACCGGUAUAUUUGAAAUGGCAAUAAAAGCUAAACGAGCAGCGAUAGAAAUACACCAUUUGUUGCAAUAUGCUUGGGACAACAGUACAUUUUCAG
rnacentral:lncRNA from 1 species